UAGGGAAUCUUCGGCAAUGGACGGAAGUCUGACCGAGCAACGCCGCGUGAGUGAAGAAGGUUUUCGGAUCGUAAAGCUCUGUUGUAAGAGAAGAACGAGUGUGAGAGUGGAAAGUUCACACUGUGACGGUAUCUUACCAGAAAGGGACGGCUAACUACGUGCCAGCAGCCGCGGUAAUACGUAGGUCCCGAGCGUUGUCCGGAUUUAUUGGGCGUAAAGCGAGCGCAGGCAGUUAGAUAAGUCUGAAGUUAAAGGCUGUGGCUUAACCAUAGUACGCUUUGGAAACUGUUUAACUUGAGUGCAAGAGGGGAGAGUGGAAUUCCAUGUGUAGCGGUGAAAUGCGUAGAUAUAUGGAGGAACACCGGUGGCGAAAGCGGCUCUCUGGCUUGUAACUGACGCUGAGGCUCGAAAGCGUGGGGAGCAAACAGGAUUAGAUACCCUGGUAGUCCACGCUGUAAACGAUGAGUGCUAGGUGUUAGACCCUUUCCGGGGUUUAGUGCCGUAGCUAACGCAUUAAGCACUCCGCCUGGGGAGUACGACCGCAAGGUUG
rnacentral:rRNA from 1 species